rnacentral:rRNA from 1 species
GGAAAGGCGCGCGAUACAGGGUGACAGCCCCGUACACAAAAGCGCAUGUGCUGUGAGCUCGAUGAGUAGGGCGGGACACGUGGUAUCCUGUCUGAAUAUGGGGGGACCAUCCUCCAAGGCUAAAUACUCCUGACUGACCGAUAGUGAACCAGUACCGUGAGGGAAAGGCGAAAAGAACCCCGGCGAGGGGAGUGAAAAAGAACCUGAAACCGUGUACGUACAAGCAGUGGGAGCCCCACCACUAAGCCAGUGGUGAACUCCACAUACGCAUCCUUUGCUGAGGAUGCGGUUAACGGAGCGAAAGCGACGUUCAACCGCAAAAGAAGCAGAGGGGGCUUAGUGGUGGGGUGACUGCGUACCUUUUGUAUAAUGGGUCAGCGACUUAUAUUCUGUAGCAAGGUUAACCGAAUAGGGGAGCCGGAGGGAAACCGAGUCUUAAUUGGGCGUUAAGUUGCAGGGUAUAGACCCGAAACCCGGUGAUCUAGCCAUGGGCAGGUUGAAGGUUGGGUAACACUAACUGGAGGACCGAACCGACUAAUGUUGAAAAAUUAGCGGAUGACCUGUGGCUGGGGGUGAAAGGCCAAUCAAACCGGGAGAUAGCUGGUUCUCCCCGAAAGCUAUUUAGG